UACGUAGGGUGCAAGCGUUGUCCGGAAUUAUUGGGCGUAAAGAGCUCGUAGGCGGUCUGUCGCGUCGGCUGUGAAAACCCAGGGCUCAAUCCUGGGCCUGCAGUCGAUACGGGCAGACUAGAGUUCGGUAGGGGAGACUGGAAUUCCUGGUGUAGCGGUGAAAUGCGCAGAUAUCAGGAGGAACACCGGUGGCGAAGGCGGGUCUCUGGGCCGAUACUGACGCUGAGGAGCGAAAGCGUGGGGAGCGAACAGG
rnacentral:rRNA from 1 species